rnacentral:rRNA from 1 species
UCGGGAAUAUUGCGCAAUGGAGGAAACUCUGACGCAGUGACGCCGCGUGCAGGAAGAAGGUUUUCGGAUUGUAAACUGCUUUAGACAGGGAAGAAAAAGGACAGUACCUGUAGAAUAAGCUCCGGCUAACUACGUGCCAGCAGCCGCGGUAAUACGUAGGGAGCAAGCGUUAUCCGGAUUUAUUGGGUGUAAAGGGUGCGUAGACGGGAAGUCAAGUUGGUUGUGAAAUCCCUCGGCUCAACUGAGGAACUGCAACCAAAACUAACUUUCUUGAGUGCUGGAGAGGAAAGUGGAAUUCCUAGUGUAGCGGUGAAAUGCGUAGAUAUUAGGAGGAACACCAGUGGCGAAGGCGACUUUCUGGACAGUAACUGACGUUGAGGCACGAAAGUGUGGGGAGCAAACA